ensembl:ncRNA C01B7.15 ncRNA
AAUGAAUAGAAAUGUCAGAAUCACUCGAAAAACUGCUACUUCAUGUAAGCGUUGUUGCGUGAAUAAUUGAGACAGAAAAAGAACCGAGAAGAAGAGUUGUGAUGAGUGCACUUUCUUAGUUAAUUGCUUUUUUUCUUUUCUUCUGCAAUUGUUUUUUGUGUUUCAAGAGCUUA